rnacentral:miRNA from 1 species
CUGGUUUUCACUGUGAUUUUACAGA